rnacentral:rRNA from 1 species
UACGAGUGCCUCAAGCGUUAUCCGGAAUCAUUGGGCGUAAAGGGUGUGUAGGUGGCCGCGUUAGUCUUCCGUUAAAUUUUUCGACUCAAUCGGAAACAUGCGGGGGAAACGGCGCGGCUUGAGGAUGCGAGAGGUCUGUGGAACUCAUAGUGUAGCGGUGAAAUGCGUUGAUAUUAUGGGGAACACCAAAAGCGAAGGCAGCAGACUGGAGCACUCCUGACACUGAAACACGAAAGCGUGGGUAGCGAACGGG